rnacentral:rRNA from 1 species
GAUGAACGCUGGCGGCGUGCCUAAUACAUGCAAGUCGAGCGAACAGAUGAGGAGCUUGCUCCUCUGACGUUAGCGGCGGACGGGUGAGUAACACGUGGAUAACCUACCUAUCAGACUGGGAUCACUUCGGGACUCCGGAGCUAAUACCGGAUAAUAUAUUGAACCGCAUGGUUCAAUAGUGAAAGACGGCUUUGCUGUCACUUAUCGAUGGAUCCGCGCCGCAUUAGCUAGUUGGUAAGGUAACGGCUUACCAAGGCAACGAGGCGUAGCCGACCUGAGAGAGGGAUCGGCCACACGGGAACGGAGACACGGUCCAGACUCCUACGGGAGGCAGCAGUAGGGAAUCUUCCGCAAUGGGCGAAAGCUUGACGGAGCAACGCCGCGUGAGUGAUGAAGGUCUUCGGAUCGUAAAACUCUGUUAUUAGGGAAGAACAAAUGUGGAAGUAACUAUGCACGUCUUGACGGUACCUAGUCAGAAAGCCACGGCUAACUACGUG